rnacentral:rRNA from 1 species
GAUGAACGCUGACAGAAUGCUUAACACAUGCAAGUCUACUUGAUUCUACUUCGGUAGUUGAUGGUGGCGGACGGGUGAGUAACGCGUAAAGAAUCUGCCCUUUAGUUUGGGAUAACCUUUGGAAACGAAGGCUAAUACCGGAUAUUAUGGAGACGUCGCAUGGCGACUCCAUGAAAGCUAUAUGCGCUAGAGGAGGACUUUGCGUCCCAUUAGUUAGUUGGUGGGGUAAUGGCUCACCAAGACCGCGAUGGGUAGCCGGCCUGAGAGGGUGAUCGGCCAAAAGGGAACGGAGACACGGUCCUUACUCCUACGGAAAGCAGCAGUGGGGAAUAUUGGACAAUGGGCCACAAGCCUGAUCCAGCAAUUCUGUGUGCACGAUGAAGGUCUUCGGAUUGUAAAGUGCUUUCAGUAGGGAAGAAAAAAAUGACGGUACCUACAGAAGAAGCGACGGCUAAAUAUGUGCCAGCCGCCGCCGUAAUAC